CCUGGCUGCAGAAGACACCUCAGAAGUGGGCUGGCAAGGAGAGGCCUAGCUGCAAGGUCUGUCUGCAGAAAUACAGAGACCACCAAAGGGAACAAAAACAGAAGCAGAUAGAAGAGGUGACAUCCUCACAGGAGAAGGAACUGGCUGAAAAAGAUGCCACCAUAAGAGCUUUGGAAGAGGAGAACAAGAGCUUAGCCAGCGAACUGGUCCAGCUUCUGAAGCAGAACGAGGAACUGGAGCACAAAAUAAAUCUCGAUCCAGAAAGAGAUGCUGACAGAAAGGAAUUGCAGGUUGAAAUAUUAAAAAACAAAUGUGAAAAGUACCAGAAGGCAAUCAGCUGACUCACCACUAUAAGUAUCUUACAUGAUAGUAAGAAAUUAGAACAACUUCUGUAAGUGAGAUUUUAUAAUGUAUUAAUUGUACUUCCUCAAUUUCUUUUUACAGGAGGUCUCAAAAGAGACUCUCAGGAACAGAGACCUUAUAACAGCUCGGGAGCAGGGAAUCGACAACGUCUGCUCCACCUCCAGUCUCUACCCUUCUCUGGGAGAAAAAUGGCUGUCCAUGGUGACUCUGCGAGAAGCCAACCUGAAGAAAAAACUGAUUGUGUGUAAAAGGCAAAUGAUACAGUUUUUAAGACAUUAGAUUUUUUUUCUGUGGAAAAGUUAUUAUAUAACAUUUGGUAGUAAAAAUCAAAUCAAGUUCACAACACAAUGUUUAUUCUUUUACAGUUAGAGCAGUUAGAGUCUAGGGAUAUUCCCAGGAUUUCUCAGGUAUACCUAUUCAAAAAUGUUGAACCAAAUAUAACAUAGAGAAAGAUGAGAUCCCAUGUUUAUUGAAUAAACGUGAAAUAAUCACACUGAGAAGUAAUUGUUUCCUAGGAGAUUUACAUAGGAGUCAUGCAAGUAUCAUGUAAGAUACUUACAGUGUUGACUCUGGUAAUUGCCUUCUGGUCUGAAUUUUUCUGAGAUUUUUCACAUUCAGAUUAGCUAUAACAUUCAGCCAUGAAAUAGGAGAUUUUAGACAGAAUGCCCUUUCUCGUGGCAUUAGAAAUAGAAUGUAGAUGGUUUUUCUUGAUAUGCUUGGCUGAAUUGUUCCAAAGGCAAAUGUGAUGAAAAAAUUUGCUAAUAUUCUGCCUGCUAAUUUUUGCUGAGAAGUUAUUCAUCAGAUAAAUUAAGUUUCGAACUCUUAGCUGGACAGAAAGUGAGGCAAGUGACAAGACCUCACCCUGCCACGCAGAGCUAGGGCUCAGACCGUCAGAGCUGAGACCAUUUCCAGCAUCAUUAAGCCACUGAGCCACCGCUUUCUACAAUUCAAAUGAUCCAAAUAGAUAUGAGUUAAUAAUGUCCAAAAUAGGAUUAAAAUAUGCAAGUAAC